ACUGGCUCCCGGUGCUUCUGCCUCUUGGAGAUCCUCUCUGGGCUGAGGGUUUCUUUCUUCUUCAGCAAGAUUGUCUCUGCCUCCCAACUCUGGCUGGCCUCCCCAACCCCUAAUGUCUUGGAAGUUCCUUAAAGACUAGGGUGGGAGGUCAUGGGGCCUGUCUUCACAUUCAGCUCCUGCCUUAGGAGGUGAGGCCCUUCAUCUCCCUCUGUGAGCCUCGAAUCCCAAAGAGAUUCCAUGCCCGGCUCUGGUCUGGAACACAGCCCUAGCAUGCGCGGACAGAUUCUCUGCUGCCUUCAAGAAGGUGAAAUAUGUGGAGGGUCUUUUGUUUCCCAAGCCAGUACAGUACCUUGAAAGUACAGUAGUACAGUACAACAGCUGGC